CAGUCGCCGCGGUAAAACGAAGGGUGCAAGCGUUACUCGGAAUUACUGGGCGUAAAGCGUGCGUAGGUGGUGGUUUAAGUCCGUUGUGAAAGCCCUGGGCUCAACCUGGGAAUUGCAGUGGAUACUGGAUCACUAGAGUGUGGUAGAGGAUAGUGGAAUUUCCGGUGUAGCAGUGAAAUGCGUAGAGAUCGGAAGGAACAUCUGUGGCGAAGGCGACUAUCUGGGCCAACACUGACACUGAGGCACGAAAGCGUGGGGAGCAAACAGGAUUAGAUACCCCUGUAGUCCCUGUCUCUUAUAC
rnacentral:rRNA from 1 species